ensembl:lncRNA
UCUGGAUCUCACUACACUCAGAACUUACUGAAAGCUUUUAUCUAAAAACGUGUUCGCAUCUGUCAAUCAAUAUCUUUCCAUUUAUUUCAAAUCUAUCAUAAGCUACUUUAAUUUUUACAUGAAUCCGGAUAAUGUCAGUAAAUGGACUGAUGGCUCAAUCAGACCGAAGAACAUUCAAGUAAACACCUCCAUUGAACCAACGGAGCUUGAUCUAAAUGAAAUUUCGAUCGGAUUGGAAGCAUUGGACAAUCUAAAAUGAUGGAUGACCCCAUUUUAAACCUGCCAGAGUCAUAACAAACAACAAGACCUGGAGUAACAAGAUAAGUGGGCAUGGCUUAUGGUCAAAAGUAAACCCAAAAUCUGCAUUUUAAUCCCAGUUCAACUGCUUCUGUGUUUUACUAAUGAAAACAUUCAAAAUGUCACUGAAGGACUCCAAGCUGUAUGAUGUCAUGAAGAAACAUUUCCAAACGUAACUGACACUUAUUAUAUCCACAGUGACUUAUAUAGUGACAAUUUACAUACUAGAGCAACAGUUGUCCUGAAGCAAGCAGAGUGCAUUAUUCUUCACAAUCUUUUUUUAUUCCUCAGGAACUGAGUGUUUAAGACUGAGGUGUGAAUUGGCAUAAAGACCUCAGGCCCAGAAGCUUUUAAGACCACCUAUAAAGAAGAAACUAUUGAAUGAUACAUCUCUGCUUGUAUUUCCCCAUGUUUACAAAGGAAGUCGUCCUCUUUUCAAACCAGAGAUAAUGCAUAAUUUAUGAGCACAUGAAUUAUGAAGUGCUGUUGAUAAGAAGACUCAGCUCAGUCUCCUGCGGUCCGUCUUCACAGGAUUCCUGUCUUUCUUACUGAUAUUAUCAAUUACAGUCAUUCUGGUAGAAGACAACAGCAUUUUUUUUUUUUUUUUUUUUUUGCAUGUUUCUGUUUAGUCAUUUUUUUUAAUUUGCAUAAUUUUACUUGUCAUUUAAUUUUACUUUCUUCUGUUUUCUGCAUAUUACCUGUACUGUAUUGUGAAGUUUAUUUAUGCAUUCUGCUUUUUACUGAAAAAAAAUAAUAGUUAAUCAUUCUAAUCAUUCUAAUAUGCAGAUUUACUACUCAAGCAACAUUUUGCACAACUAGCAGUAUAUAUAUAUAUAUAUAUAUAUAUAUAUAUAUAUAUAUAUAUAUAUAUAUAUAUAUAUAUAUAUAUAUAUAUANUUAUAUAUAUAUAUAUAUAUAUAUACAUAUAUAUAGUAACAAUGUUGAAGUCUUUGCUGUCAAUU